GACUGUGGAUAACGUCCAAUCACGAGCUUGAUGUUGAUGCGCGAGGACUUAACAGUCCCAACGGUUCCCUCGUCUUCCGAAGGCGCAUGCGCCAGUUCCUCUCUGCCACUGUUAGUCCCCGUUCACUUAAGGCUUAAGCGGCUGAGGAGGAAAAGGAAGGAGCCUGAGGCAGUUAGUAGGAAUGGUGGGAGUUGAAGUCCAAAACACCUGGAGAGCCUAAGUCUGCUCAUGCCUGCUCGAAACUGUUAUAUGGUAGUUUAGAAAUACUUUUGACAAAUGGAUAUGAGAAAACAAUGGAAGCAGAAGGAGGAACUCAAUGGAUUCAUUCAUUCAUGAUGUAGUAAUUUAAAAAAGGGAUUGGCAAACCUUGACACUAAAGUUUUGGAUUUCAAGUCCCAUCAUCCCUACCCAGCAUAGCUAGUGGUACGAGUAUAAGGAAGCUGUAAAGUAAAUAAUAUGGAAGGAGGAAUGUUUCUAUCCUAAAUUAAUGGAGGAAAAGGAAUAGAGAAAAACAAUCACAGGUGAUGACCGAGACCCCGGCUUUCAAAUUAAUUUGAACCCGCAGCGGAGAGUUCCGCAGAUCCAUCACCAAAAGGAACGGAGCGGGACCGCAGCAGACUAUUAUUAAAAGAUCUUUUUUUCUUCACUUUCCCCUUCCCUGAACUAUGUAACAAAUCCCCCAAUAAAAGUAGCACUUAUUUUAGCAGUAACACUCUCUAUCUGGUUAUUUUGUGUCUUUCCCUGACUCCUUCUUUGGCAUGAAAUCCUCUCUCUCUCUCUCUCUAACCCGUCCGUCCUUUUAACUCUGGCUGAGGCUUCUCCGCCAUAGAUUAAUACGGCGGACGAUACAAAUCGGCUCAUAUCUUUAUCAAAAUUACCCCUAGAACGCUCCUCUUUUAGUCCUAACCCUUUCUAAGGCUCCUGACUCGAAGACCACCAACGGAACCGAAAUCGGUCCAGUUCUCGGCACCUCAUCAGCUGACUGUCAAACGGAACCGACUGCUCUUUUCAAGCCGGGCUGCUCUCUUGUAGCCUAAGCCCGGACUUUCCUCUCCCCGCGACCCGCGGGAUGGUUUAGGAGAUCCCUGGCCCCUUUCUGUGAACUGGGGAUGGGGGGAUCGCUCUCCCGCUGGGAGACAUAGUUCUCCAAGGACUCUCACCCUCUCUACAGCUGCCAGGAGGGUGCCUGGACGGGUGCCCUCCACGUUUCAUUCAUACCUUCAUAAUUUUAUGAAGGAGAAGAACACUCUUCCCCAGACCUAUCCCUGGACUUAUGAAAUCUUAUACUUCCAAAGACUGCAACCCACAUGUGCCCCUUCCCCAUGUCAUCUCUAUGAAUUCCUUCCACCACAGAUGGACUCCUUUCCUCAUGUAUCCGUGAAUUUUCAUAUUCUAUGUACCUGGACAUCCUCAUGAAUCACUGUUGUAUGAAUUUCUAAUCGUUGGGCUAACUUCAUGAAUUGUGAAAUCAUGCUGCUAAAACUCCACUUUUAUGAAUUUCCAUAUUGGGUUCCCCAGAUGUUGUGAACUUCGUGUUUAUCCAAUGUUUUCAAAUUGUUUAUAUCAUUCAUGAUUCCCCUUUAUGCAAUGUAACCCACCUCUAUGGAUUCUCCCUUACUUCCUUGAAAUCUAUCUAUCUGCCUAUAUGUAUUUGUACUCUUUGGGAUCCCUGAAAGAUAUGUGUUUUUCCCAGCUGGGUUUAUGUUCCAACUUUAUUUUAUUUUUCAUUUUAUUUCAUAUAAUUUGUCAAAUCAUGAAAUCAAAUGGGAAAUAUUUUGACCCCAACAUGAACCCCAGAUCCUAUGACCCAGACUUCCCUUCCCAAAAACAAAAGGAUAAUCUGCCACAGUUUAACCCAAUCUAAUUCAGAUUGCAUGGACAAUAUAAGGCUUGAGUCACUGAAUUCGGAGUGUUGUCCUAAGGUGAUUCGCCCCCAAGGCAAACAUUGUCAUAUCUCAUCCUAAGGAAAUUCCAGGACACCUCAGGAAGGCGCCCUGUGGAGCCUGUCAAUUUUGGCUCAUCAACACCCAUCACCACUUCCCCCCUGACACCCCAAGGCAUAUCUAAAAUCUGUAUACGUGACAGGAACCCUUGAUUGCUGUCAUUAAUCCCUUUAGAAAUCGGCCGGACAGGAAUUAAUCUGAUCUUUCCUGCCCUGUCACUUCAUUGUUCCAAUAACUCCCGCCUUCCCCUUCCUGAUUGGCCCGGGUAGAGACAAAAAGCAGCUUCCUAUUGGGCCAUGCGGAGCAAGGCGGGAAACGAAAGCCCGCCUCGUUCAACACUCUAGCCUAUCCGCGAUCAGAUGGGCGGGGGAGCGGGGCGGGAAAUUCAAGGGGCUGUCAGACCGAAACAUUGUAUAAAUAUGGCUUUAUUUUGGAUAUAUGGUACGCUAGUAGGCUGAAUGAUCGCUACUAGUGUCCUUUUCAGCUGAAUCGCUCAAUAAAGACUCCUUGGCGGAUUUUCCUUCAA